CCUACGGGAGGCAGCAGUGAGGAAUAUUGGUCAAUGGCCGGAAGGCUGAACCAGCCAUGCCGCGUGAAGGUCAGUGCCCUAUGGGCGUUAAACUUCUUUUGUGCGGGAGCAAUAAUGGUCACGUGUGGCCAGACGAGAGUACCGUACGAAUAAGCAUCGGCUAACUCCGUGCCAGCAGCCGCGGUAAUACGGGGGAUGCAAGCGUUAUCCGGAUUUAUUGGGUUUAAAGGGUGCGUAGGCUGUGAGGUAAGUCAGCGGUGAAAUGCCCCCGCUCAACGGGGUGAAGUGCCAUUGAUACUGCCUGGCUGGAAUGCGGAUGCCGUGGGAGGAAUGUGUGGUGUAGCGGUGAAAUGCAGAGAUAUCACACAGAACACCGAUUGCGAAGGCAUCUCACGAAUCCGCGAUUGACGCUGAUGCACGAAAGCGUGGGUAUCAAACAGGAUUAGAUACCCGGGUAGUC
rnacentral:rRNA from 1 species